UUGAACGCUGGCGGCAUGCCUUACACAUGCAAGUCGAACGGUAGAGGGGCAACCCUUGAGAGUGGCGAACGGGUGAGUAAUAUAUCGGAACGUGCCCAGUCGUGGGGGAUAACGCAGCGAAAGCUGCGCUAAUACCGCAUACGAUCUAUGGAUGAAAGCGGGGGAUCGCAAAGACCUCGCGCGAUUGGAGCGGCCGAUAUCAGAUUAGGUAGUUGGUGGGGUAAAAGCCCACCAAGCCGACGAUCCGUAGCUG
rnacentral:rRNA from 1 species